UCAAGGACGCUUUACAUGUUAAACAGUUUCACAACGGACCACAGCUCUGUAACAGGUUUAAAAGAAAAAGAUCAGGAAUCAUUUCAUGGAAAUAAGCUAUACAUAAGAAGCAAUAUCUUUUGUUCUACGUUCUAAGGCUGCUUUCUAUGGAGACGUGUAUUUAGAGAACUAAACCGCCAAGUUGAAAGCACAGUAAUUCUAGUUAAACAUCCAGAAUAUUUUAGCAUUAAGAGUUAAUGGCUUAACUACUGACCUCUCAUCUUCUACCGUGCAAGAAUGGGAUUCAGAAUUUCAGAUUUAAGCAGGACCUAGCCAAAUCAGGUUUAGGUUGAUCAACGUGCAAAACCCUUUACUCAUUCUUCAAUGAUUUAAAUUUAUCUUGCAUCAAUUUUUUAAAAGUAUAUUUCUAAUUUAAAGCUGAAGUGCAAGUCUUAACUUAUCCAGUCAAAGACUUCCCUUUUUUUAAAAAACAAAACAAAACAUUGCUCCCUUGUCAACUCUUCACUGACCGUAAUUGCCUCAGUUCAGUGCUUUAAAGUGACAUUCAGCUAUGCCUGUUUGUUUAGAUUAAGCAUCCAAAAGGUAAGUGAUCCAAAAACUCCGCAUUAUUCAAACUGAAAUACAGAAUUUCCUAUUACAGUACAAGAAACACAGGUCUGCCAUCAAAAACAACAGCUUAAAUGCCAUGUCGUCUGUCCUAAUCUACAGCACCAUUUAACCUGGAAUGUCCUGACAUUACACUAUCCUCCCAUUAGCCGCUGCUCUUGUCAUCAAGUGUGGGAGAGCAAACCAAGCAUAUCAUCUAUAUGUAAGGAUUUUGGAAAAGCUGUUGGGGUGGGGGAGCUGUGCUCUUUGCUCUUUCUGGCAGCAGCCCUUUUGCUCCUUGCAAUGUACAGACUGAGAACAAAUGUGCAAUUGCCUCAGUUUAGUAUUUCCUGGGUCUCCCCAUCUCAAAAUCACAAAGUAUUCAAAAUCAAGAGCAGUAUUUAUGGGCUUUUCUGAAGUAUGCAUGAUGCCAAAUUCCAUUAUGCUAGCUUGCUUUAUGAGAAGCACACAUUGCAUAUGACUUGAGCACAACAACAUAGCAGCAUUCAGGAAUAUAUGUGCCCUAGUAAACAAUUCUGUACAUUUCAACUUAACAUUGUAAACCGUUUCAGUACAGCACUGCACUUUCAGUUUUCGGCUCUUACGUACAAAAUAACCGUAUUUCAUAUACCAAAGUCAGUGGAAUCCUGUUAGUUUUAACUCCAAAUAGCCCUCAGUUUUCCCAGCUUGAUUAUUUGCAUCCCGCUCAUUGCCCUGCAUUAUCCCUUAGUGCGUUCCGAUUUGUCCCUUGCCAAGUUACAUUUUGCUGACAUUGGCAGAAAUAGCCCUAUUGGCUUGUAUUAUUUGUAUACCUGACUGGGGCUUGCAUUUAAAUAGCACUUGGGUCUUCUUCAGAUUUAACCUUUGCUUCCAUAGAAUUGCUCUUGUAAAGCUACACUUAGGGGAAACCUUGUCCGAUUAGUAAUACACAUGAAUUUUCUGGAGCAAGAGUUGAUUUUUGCUGGCUCCUGCUUAAGGAACAGUCACACAACCAUACAUAGUGGUGAUCAAACAGUGUGUGUGUGUGUGUGUGUGUGAGAGAGAGAGAGAGAGAGAGAGAGAUAUUCCCUAAGACAUAGGCAAGCAUGCUAUCUAGAAGUUACCCCACUUAGAAUUCCCUUUCAGGGAGUUUUGCACAAGUGUAGGUCCUGUGAUAUUAAUAGGGCAUCUUGGAGUAUAAGGGCAGGAAGCAAAUGAUAUAAAGAAAUGACCAUAUUUAAUAUUGUGAGCUGAACACCAACUUACAUUAUUGUGUAGAUGCUAGGUGCUUUCACAACAGGUAGCUUGUGAUAACCACCUGUUUGGUUCUAAUUCUAAAUUGCCAAACAUGGAUUUUCAUGGCCUUCAUUUGCAAGAAAUUGCAGUUACGUGUACGCGAGGUAUUAUUCAGCGAAGUAAUCUUUAACAUUGUAGCAAAGAUGCUUACUGAGAAGAGGGCAAACAAAGCAGUGUUGCAAUUUGACUUGCAAUUCAUGCUAUAUUGGCUGCAGUGCUUGUUAUAAUUGCUUGGGGGGAAAACAGAAAGCUUCAUAGUAUUGUGCGCACUGGAAAUGACAAUUCAACAGGAUUUCUAGGGGGCGUGAUUUAACCCAAUUGGCAUAAGUAAUAGCUAUCAAAGGAAGCAGUCCUCUGGUGAGAGAAAAACAUUCAUGUCAUACAAUGGAAGUUGUCACUCAAACUGCUUCUGCAGCGGAUAGAGAGCUCUGAUCUAUAACGGGAGAUAUUUGCAUAUCACAGUUCCCAUCAAGCAUGCAGAGAAGUUGCACAACUUCAAAUGGAACUUAGUCCUGCACCCAACACAAGAGCUCAGUACAGGGAAUGGAGCAUUUAAUAGGGGGCUUGUGUUUUAACUGACAAGUUGUGCAAGUGAAAAGGCUGAACUGACGCCUGUCUCUUCAUGCACCAUGGAUUAAAGGGAUGCACAAUCUAUCCAUGGUGUGGCCAAAACUGUGAUCUUAAGGCUCCACGGAGGGCUGCUUUACACAGCAGCAUGAGCCUGCCACAGGCUUUGGAAAUGGCAUAAGCUACAGAGCAAGUGACUGAGUAAAUCACCCCUAGGCUGCUCCUCCAAUCUCUGACAAUUUGCAGGUACAUUUACAAGGCUGGCUAGCCCUUUGCACGGCACGACUCCUGCAGAUCCUAAAAGGCAGUUUUGGUUACGCUGGAAUGUAAGCCAUUAGCAUAGUCUUAAAGGGGAACGUCUACAGAAUGCUGUCAUCACUAAAUUUUGUGCGCACCUUUGCUUCUCCUGCUGUGCUUAGGCCUGCCUAUAGGAUCACUGCAGAAGACAGUGUUUCUCUCCACCGCUAGCCAGCCACACAUUAUGUUUAAUUCACCUCGAGUUUCAGUUCUUAAAGCGCAUGGCCAAGUGUGUCAUCAACUGUAAUCGGAUACCAAUUGAAAAGUUAAAAUGUGAAUGGUUCCAUCUGAAAACACAAGCACCUAUGGAGUUGUGGGACAAAUGUCAUUCUCAACUAUGUUAACAAGCACAAACAAACCUCCCUGUGUAUUUCUGCAACGUACCCUUCGCAAAAAAAAAGAGCUCCAAACAACCGGAGAGGAUUGAGGAGAUAAGAAGGAAUGAAGGAAGGGUCUCUCCCCCCGCCCCAAUUCCUCUGUAAUGCAUACACCAGCUUGUAAAUAUACAACACACUGGCCAUCAUUAGCCUACAACAAUUUCAUUCUGAGGAAUUAUACAGAUCUACAGUUUUAGUUUAAUGUUACAACAGCAUAUUUUCUUCAGAGUCUAAAACUCUGUGGAGUGUUCCAUUUGUGUGAAAUUUCUGCCUUGGUACCAAAUGGCCUAAACGUCUCAACUGCUAUAGGAAAGCACAGGAACAUUAGAAGCACCUGUGGCCUUCAGAGGCAGGAAUGCCAAAUGGCGACAUCUUCAAGGAACAAUGGGGGACAAUUAAUAGCCCAAGCAUACUACGUUUAUAAUAGUCCCAAGGUCUCUUGACAGUUAGGGAUGGAGUGCUUGUACUAGAUGAGAAGUACAAUUAGCUUCUCAUUACACCAACUUGCCAAAGCCAAUUUCUAUUAUAUGCAGGACCAGGGUGGUGAAGAAUGGAAGAACCCCUAUUACCAAUGUAAAAUUCUCUCAAAGUUCAGUGGUUUGCAACAAUCUGUCCCAAAAUUCUACCCAUUUAGCAGCACUGGGUCUCAGGACAUUACCACACAGCUAUUGUCAUUUAAAAUUCAAUGGAUAUACCUCAACACACAAACCUUGACAGAUGCACUCUCUGUAGACAAGUCGCUUGCUUAUUUAAAAAAAGAAUUCUUCAAAAUAGGUAAGCACUUUUAGCAACAUUAAAUAUCUUCAGCUCAAUCUAAUAAAACUGCUUUCCUCUUAUCCUAUGUCUAAAUGAUGUUAAUUUUGCCUGAUUAUUCCUACUGGCCAGAGAGCAACCUUUGCUACCAUACAGCCGUGACUCACAAAGACUUUCUUUCUCUCCUUUCUGCCUUCAAUUAAUAGCUCUGCAAAAUGGAGACAGACUUGAAAAUUAUACACAUUUUAUUAGACUGACUGUAAAACCAAAAUGCUGAAGCAUUUCCUCUUCCCAAGUUGGUCCCCUGAGAAUAGACAGUGCAUCACCCACAAAGUAUAUCAGGCAAUUAGAUUAUUAAUAAACAAACAGCCUGCCAGUAGCAGCUAUCCAGUACAACUUUGACAUUAUUAGUAGCAAAUUUCCAACAAGGCCCCUAUCCACAGCAGCUGCUUCACAGCGUAAUUGUCCAAUAUGCUUCAGUUUCCUCCUGUUCCCAUUCUGAGCAGUGGCAGAAGUUUGAAACUCAAGAGACAACAGUAACAAUAUUUCCAUCUUGGAGAAAACAGGAGUGCUCUGAGUGACUGGAAAGACUCAAAAGGUGGUUGGUUUCCCAACCAGCCUAUUCCUUGUGUUCUUCCCUCUCAGUUUAAAAAUAAUUGCACCUCUUUCCACUGAUUUUUAGGCCCAAGAAGGCCACAACCACCAUGUUGAAGUGCUGUCUUUGAGCUUCUCUAUUCCACUAGUACUUUCUUCUACUUAUUAAAGAACCUUGAAGCCCAAUCACUAGUCAGACGUACUCUGCACAUUCUGAUAGCUGAUGGUGCAAGGCUAACUGUACACAAUCCUGGUUUUAUACAGUGAUAAACUUAAUUCAGCUCUCAGUCAUUCCAUCAACAUUAUAAAUAGUCCAACACACUGUCCCCUUAACAGCUUAUAAAACAGUACAUCCCAAGGAUACAUUUGCACUCCUUUAGAUUUCAGUACAUUUUCAUUGGGGUACAUUUCCCCCUUGCUUUUGGAGGCUGCAACAGGGAGAUCUGUAACACAGCUUUGUCAAAUGACUGGACUCACCUGACGGGUGUAUAUCUGUGCCACCCAGGUGGGAUUAGCAUUGGCCACUAGCUUGAGGAAGGAAUUUAGUCGCCUCCUAGGAACUUUUGUGGUUGGUGCUCCCGGAAGCGGCUUCAGUUUGCGGUUUUGCCAAGCUAAGAUAAAAGCCGUAACUAAGGAUAGGUCUUAAAAAGCAGAGACAUCACCUUGCCAACAAAGGUCCGUAUAGUUAAAGCCAUGGUUUUCCCGGUAGUGAUGUAUGGAAGUGAGAGCUGGACCAUAAAGAAGGCUGAUCGCCGAAGAAUUGAUGCUUUUGAAUUAUGGUGCUGGAGGAGACUCUGGAGAGUUCCAUGGACUGCAAGAAGAUCAAACCUAUCCAUUCUGAAGGAAAUCAGCCCCAAGUGCUCACUGGAAGGACAGAUCCUGAAGCUGAGGCUCCAAUACUUUGGCCACCUCAUGAGAAGAGAAGACUCCCUGGAAAAGAUCCUGAUGCUGGGAAAGAUGGAGGGCACAAGGAGAAGGGGAUGACAGAGGACGAGAUGGUUGGACAGUGUUCUCUCAAAGCUACUAACAUGAGUUUGACCAAACUGCGGGAGGCAGUGGAAGACAGGAGUGCCUGGCGUGCUCUGGUCCAUGGGGUCACGAAGAGUUGGACACGACUAAACGAUUAAACAACAACAACAAGGAUAGGUCAGGGGUAAAGACAGUGCAAUUAUUAAGGUGGUGUGUGCCAAUUAUCUCCCUGAACUUCCCAGGCAUGCCAGGCACACAGUAGGGCAUGGGCCCUGGGUCCAAGAUGCCAUUACCUUUCUGGUGAGUGCAGUGGACCUGUCUCCCAUGCUGGCCUUCUGGACCCUGAUGGGAUGUUCAAAAGGUGAUCGUGUCUAAGGUGGUAAUGGAUGUCUAAGAAAGAGGGAGCACACACUGAAGUAGCUGCUGUCCAAAGGCCACCAUGGUUGUGGUCCAUUUUGAAGUGUGGUGUAGAUGUUUUUGGACUGGCCCAUGUAGGAGAUAUCCAGCGGUGGAGCAUUUGCUGAAAAGGCUGCUGCGGCCGCUGUUUAAUUGGAACUGUGUUGUGUUUUGGCAACCUGAACCUUUGGCUGUCAUAGGCCAUAGAUAUGGAAGCCUUAAUCCACCUGGCGAGGGCAGGGGGAGAAGACUUCCUAGCUCAGAUUCAAGGGGAGGAAGAAAGCGAGUAAGAAGUCGGUCUAAAUAGAUGAGUUUUGGCAACAACUCUUAAGGCUCUGAAUACACUCAAAGAGUGCCGUGCCCUCUCUGUGGAAUGAGGGGGGUGGGCAACAGUUGGUAGGAUGAUCCCGAUGCUCAUGGAGAGUGAGUUUAUAUUUGGCACAAGACCACUCCAUCACUGUGGAAGAAGCCUCUUCCUCACUAUCAGAAUCACCCUACACUCAGCAUCACUCAGGCCACUCUUGCUGGGAAGUGUCCAAAGUAAAAGUAGAAGAGUUGUCUAAAAGACUGAGGGACUUCCCAAUUCUGCAUGAACUGUACAGUAGACCAGUUCUUAUGCUAUUAACUUUGCAGAAUGGUUUAAUUAAACAAUCAGUUAAAAACUUCCAUUGGUCCAAUCAUCUAUUCUGCGCAUUUCGUCCAACAAUCCUUAGGUAACCAUCAGCGUGCACACCAAGAAAGAGAGAUAGAAAAACAUGGAAGCCAAUGAAAUGUCAAUGCAGCUGAGCUCCCAAGCAGGAUCAUAGGGGAAAACUCCAUGGUGUGGGCUGCAGGAUUAGGAGAAACAGGCCUUGAAAAUAUAAGCCUGAGAAAGAUUCUAGAAACCAAGUACGCAAUAAGCACUGAAGUGAAAGGAACAAAAAACAAGCCUUAAAGCAGGAAGUGGAGAGUGUUAUCUCCAGUGCUACUGCUUCAAUCAAUUGCAAUGUAAUUGUAUCAUUAAAAUUCAUUAACUUAAUUGGUUUAAUGUUCAGAAGCACACACACCAAGUAGCAAUUAGAUCACAAGGAAAGUAAACAUAACACGACAGCCACCAAUACUCUGGUUGUGGCUGGAACUGACCAGAAUUACGAGAAGUCUUUGUAAGACAGGGUGGAAGGGGUGCAGAAAGAAAAAGGAGCAUUUUAAAAACUGAAUCAAGGAAAGGUGAUCUGAUCACCAAAGAGGAGAAACUCAGCCAAAAAAGCAGGUGAGGGGAAAUAGGAGAGAAUGAACAAAUUUGGGCCUUAAACAAU